rnacentral:rRNA from 1 species
ACGAACGCUGGCGGCAUGCCUAACACAUGCAAGUCGAACGAGACCUUCGGGUCUAGUGGCGCACGGGUGCGUAACGCGUGGGAACCUGCCCUUAGGUUCGGAAUAACUCCCCGAAAGGGGUGCUAAUACCGGAUAAUGUCUUCGGACCAAAGAUUUAUCGCCUUUGGAUGGGCCCGCGUUGGAUUAGCUAGUUGGUAGGGUAAAAGCCUACCAAGGCGACGAUCCAUAGCUGGUCUGAGAGGAUGAUCAGCCACACUGGGACUGAGACACGACCCAGACUCCUACGGGAGGCAGCAGUGGGGAAUAUUGGACAAUGGGCGAAAGCCUGAUCCAGCAAUGCCGCGUGAGUGAUGAAGGCCUUAGGGUUGUAAAGCUCUUUUACCCGGGAUGAUAAUGACAGUACCGGGAGAAUAAGCUCCGGCUAACUCCGUG